UUUCUCUUUCAGAUACCAAACAUGGGAUUUGAUUUACUGGAUGAAACCUAAAUGACCAAGAAGUAGGAACUAAGAAGCGGCUCCUCGGCCCUCAACUGCUUCCAGAUGUUGGAAUUCCGCAGAUAAUCUGUCCUGUUGGAUCCCAAUGAGAGGAGGGCGUCCUGCAGAAGCCUGAAGGUCCAGAUCCGGGUUUUCAGAUCGGAGGCGUCAAACACAUGAAACCUCUCUGACAUCUUCAACGUCUCCCAAACUGCCUCCAUGCUGCUCAGCUGAAGCUCCUCAAAGACAACAUGAGAGCUUCUGAGCUGAACCGAUGGACGUCUAAUCAGAGACACUACAGGAAGAGAACAGAAAGCAGCCGAUGGAGGGAAAAUCAGGACUGAUUGUGAUUAAAGAGAGGAUGUUUAAGUGAAGGACGAGAGCAGAGGAGGUGAAGGACCUGAUUGGUCAGAGAUGCUAAUGUCAUCAGCAUCAAAUCUGAAGACACCUGAACGCCUCACACUCACUCUUAUGUCAUCCAGGUGUCACUGUCUGAAGAAUAAACCUGUUUAUUUUUCUCUGUAA